UAGGGAAUAUUGCACAAUGGGCGCAAGCCUGAUGCAGCCAUGCCGCGUGUGUGAAGAAGGCCUUCGGGUUGUAAAGCACUUUCAGCGGGGAGGAAGGCGGUGAGGUUAAUAACCUCACCGAUUGACGUUACCCGCAGAAGAAGCACCGGCUAACUCCGUGCCAGCAGCCGCGGUAAUACGGAGGGUGCAAGCGUUAAUCGGAAUUACUGGGCGUAAAGCGCACGCAGGCGGUCUGUCAAGUCGGAUGUGAAAUCCCCGGGCUCAACCUGGGAACUGCAUUCGAAACUGGCAGGCUAGAGGCUUGUAGAGGGGGGUAGAAGUCCAGGUGUAGCGGUGAAAUGCGUAGAGAUCUGGAGGAAUACCGGUGGCGAAGGCGGCCCCCUGGACAAAGACUGACGCUCAGGUGCGAAAGCGUGGGGAGCAAACAGG
rnacentral:rRNA from 1 species